rnacentral:rRNA from 1 species
GACGAACGCUGGCGGCGUGCUUAACACAUGCAAGUCGAACGAUGAACCCGGAGCUUGCUCCGGUGGAUUAGUGGCGAACGGGUGAGUAACACGUGAGUAACCUGCCCUUGACUCUGGGAUAACUGCGGGAAACUGUAGCUAAUACCGGAUACGACCCUCGGCGGCAUCGCCAGGGGGUGGAAAGAAUUUCGGUCAAGGAUGGACUCGCGGCCUAUCAGCUAGUUGGUGAGGUAACGGCGCACCAAGGCGACGACGGGUAGCCGGCCUGGGAGGGGGACCGGCCACGCGGGGACUGAGACACGGCCCAGACUCCUACGGGAGGCAGCAGUGGGGAAUAUUGCACAAUGGGCGCAAGGCUGAUGCAGCAACGCCGCGUGAGGGAUGACGGCCUUCGGGUUGUAAACCUCUUUUAGUAGGGAAGAAGCGAAAGUGACGGUACCUGCAGAAAAAGCACCGGCUAACUACGUGCCAGCCGCCGCAGUAA